rnacentral:rRNA from 1 species
AUCGCGAAGAACCUUACCAAGGCUUGACGUAUACGAGAACGGGCCAGAAAUGGUCAACUCUUUGGACACCCGUAAACAGGUGGUGCAUGGUUGUCGUCAGCUCGUGUCGUGAGAUGUUGGGUUAAGUCCCGCAACGAGCGCAACCCUCGUUCUAUGUUGCCAGCACGUAAUGGUGGGAACUCAUGGGAUACUGCCGGGGCCAACUCGGAGGGAGGUGGGGACGACGUCAAAUCAUCAUGCCCCUUAUGUCUUGGGCUUCACGCAUGCUACAAUGGCCAGUACAAAGGGCUGCAAUACCGUAAGGUGGAGCGAAUCCCAAAAAGCUGGUCCCAGUUCGGAUUGAGGUCUGCAACUCGACCUCAUGAAGUCGGAGUCGCUAGUAAUCGCAGAUCAGCAACGCUGCGGUGAAUACGUUCCCGGGCCUUGUACACACC